UAGGGAAUCUUCCACAAUGGACGCAAGUCUGAUGGAGCAACGCCGCGUGAGUGAAGAAGGUUUUCGGAUCGUAAAGCUCUGUUGUUGGUGAAGAAGGAUAGAGGUAGUAACUGGCCUUUAUUUGACGGUAAUCAACCAGAAAGUCACGGCUAACUACGUGCCAGCAGCCGCGGUAAUACGUAGGUGGCAAGCGUUGUCCGGAUUUAUUGGGCGUAAAGCGAGCGCAGGCGGAAGAAUAAGUCUGAUGUGAAAGCCCUCGGCUUAACCGAGGAACUGCAUCGGAAACUGUUUUUCUUGAGUGCAGAAGAGGAGAGUGGAACUCCAUGUGUAGCGGUGGAAUGCGUAGAUAUAUGGAAGAACACCAGUGGCGAAGGCGACUCUCUGGUCUGCAACUGACGCUGAGGCUCGAAAGCAUGGGUAGCGAACAGGAUUAGAUACCCUGGUAGUCCAUGCCGUAAACGAUGAGUGCUAAGUGUUGGGAGGUUUCCGCCUCUCAGUGCUGCAGCUAACGCAUUAAGCACUCCGCCUGGGGGAGUACGACCGCAAGGUUGAA
rnacentral:rRNA from 1 species